rnacentral:lncRNA from 1 species
AAAAUACUUAUAUUCCUGUGAUUUCAUAUACCAAAUUGAACUUCGUAUCAUAUAUGCAUACUGUCAGUCAUUCCAAAAAGUUGACUUAGCGCCCAGUUACUUUCCAUCCAAUAGACCCAUCAUGUUGUCAAAAGCCUAAAACUAAUGUGUGAAGCUCACAUAUUGUGGAAUACAAAAGUGUGGAGACAAGGUAUUUUCCCAUUACUGCUACCACACCAACCUCACCAAACCAACCACCUUACUAAAUUCAGCACCAUUCACCCAUAUGAUAAAGGAAAUUUACCUCAACCUAAGGAGUAAGGCUGUUGGUUGCUGUGAUUUCCAUUCUUACAAUUUUUAUCAUGAAAACUUCAGUGUGCUUGUUAGUAUAGGCACAUAAUAGAUCCUUAAGCCAAUGCUGACCUUUGUCCAUGAAGGAAGAGGGACAUCCAGCAACAUUCUGCAACAUCCUUAUCUUCCCGACGUACGCUCAUUUAGCUUCACUGCUUUUGCUGCUACAAUUUCUCUUUUAUUACUUCACCGACGAGUUGGAACACUUCAGUGGUCGCUACCCUUUGCUGUUACACAUCUGCAGUUACUCACCACGGGAUUAUGCCCAGUAAUGCAGAGGAAAUUUCGAGAAGAUGGACAUCAUAACGUCGCCGGUAUCUCCAAAGUGUCAGCGCGGAUCAUCAUUUGUUGUUGAUAAUAUGUGUUCGUUUGUGUUAGUUAACCCGUUGUCUGCCACGCCUUUGUUCUCCCCUAGCUUCUUUGCAUGGGCCGCGCUGGUCGGCCUCGUGGAUUUCAUGCCGCGAGUUCGGAAUGUCGCCAAGGUCGCCAAGCCCAAAAUUUGCCGCAAGGCAAGCCUGUUAGGCAAUGCGCCAUUCCCCCUUGUCGAUACGAAGAUGGAUUCUCCUGUCACCGUGUCACCGGACUUGUCAGCAAUGGCAAGUCCCACCUUGGCGAUGGAUCCUUCAGACGUGGCGCGUAGAGUAGUAGAGUGCAACCUAUGGGCUGUAUGGUGUGGCAGCCAACGGGUUAACUUAAGUGUAUGUAUGUAUGUGAUUGUAAAAUGUGGUGGAAUUG